UAGGGAAUUUUGCGCAAUGGGGGAAACCCUGACGCAGCAACGCCAUGUGAGGGAUGAAGCAUUUCGGUGUGUAAACCUCUGUCAGCAGGGAAUAAAAGGCUUCUUCGGAGGCAUUUGAAUGUACCUGCAAAGGAAGCCCCGGCUAACUUCGUGCCAGCAGCCGCGGUAAUACGAGGGGGGCUAGUGUUGUUCGGAAUCACUGGGCGUAAAGGGAGCGUAGGCGGGCUCUUAAGUUAGGUGUUUAAUCCCGGGGCCCAACCCCGGACAGGCACCUAAAACUGGGAGUCUUGAAUAGUGGAGAGGUCAGUGGAAUUGGGGGUGUAGCGGUGGAAUGCGUAGAGAUCCCCAAGAACACCAGUUGCGAAGGCGGCUGACUGGACACAUAUUGACGCUGAGGCUCGAAAGCAUGGGGAGCAAACAGGAUUAGAUACCCCCGUAGUCC
rnacentral:rRNA from 1 species